rnacentral:lncRNA from 1 species
CAUUCUCCAAGGAAAUCACAUGCAGCACUUCUCUCAUUUUAUUCACGUGCACCCCCUUUUUUCUUUUUUUCCUUCCUUCCUUUUUUCCUUUUGUUUUUCUUUUGUUUUUUUUUUAUUUUUCUUUUCUCUUUUAUUCUUUUUCUCUUUUUUUAUCUCAGAGAUAAAUACAAUUGUUACGAUAUGCUGGAGAUGUCAUAGUUGUAGAAGA